GUUUGUAAUUAUUCUUUUAUUGGUUUGCAGCAGGAUGGAAAUGGAGUAGCUGUGGAACAAGCGAGGGACACAGAACCUUUGGCUGAUGGAGUUGGCUCCUCGAAACAGGCCCCUCCUACUGAUGCAAGUUUGAUGGCCGUAGACGAGCCAAGUCCUGUUAGGGGUGAACCAGAGAGGUCCAACAACAGAACAGCCAGCAAUGCAUCAGAAACCAUGAGAUCGCGGACCUUAACUUAGCAACUGAUGCCAUAUGUGCAGCCCUUUGACUCCCUUGGACAAACCUGGACAGAACAGUUUCUCUACCAGAAUACAAGAUGAUCAUAUUUGUGAUUUUGACACACUGAUGGUUGAUUUAUCAAUGCCAUUGUUGGCAUCAAGUAUCGAGUUCGUAAUGCUUCCGAGGAGAUGACAUUCUGGCGCAUGUGACUUAGCAAUGUAUAGCUAGGCGAAGGUUUCGUUUUUUUAUGGGACCCGUCUUCUCUUCUCAUCACAUGAGGAUAAUGCUGUAGUUGGUUAGGAGACUAGUGCUCCAGUGAUUUCAGUGUUAGGAGUUCCAUUGAGGAAUAUUGUAUUCACAAUGCAAGUCUAUUGGUAAAUUCUUGUGUCUUA